GGCCAUUAUAAUUAGUGCAAAACUACACCAACAUUAAUCAAGUGAUUCAAAUUGAACGAGGAAAUAUAAGCAUACCUUGGAGUAUUGCUUAGUCAUGUCCAAAUUUUACCGGCGGGAGUUACCGAUGCUAGUCCUGCCCUCGUCCAUCAAGACGAAUCAGCACCGCGAAAGUGGAAACACGUGCAGGAGAUCGAGAACGGAUCUACGAUAGGGGAUGAAUGGAUGAUGCCGGGAGGCGAGAGACGUCGUCUUCGAUUGUUGACGGCUCAGUGGAAUGCGAGAUGUAACUGUGGCGCACCACCACCUGACCACCGCCUCUAGUUAUUUGGGAGUAAAUUAAGGGAUGCAUACGUAUACAUGAACUCUGAACGAUCAAAAUAAACAUCUUGGACUAGGUUCUGAAAUGUCAAUCAAAUAAAUUAACUUACCUAGCAGGAAAACCAACUGAACGAGGCUUAUUAGUUUCUUCUUCCAAAAAAUAACUUUUAUUUUAAGCAAAACACAAAAUUUCCUGUUUUGAAUUUGGUCUUUGGGGAGUUUGCACCUUGCUGCAAAACCGACUGCAGGUGUGGCCCGAUUCUUAGGCCUCGUCUGGAUUGAAGGAAUUUUAAAGGAAUUCCAAAGGAAUGCAAUUCCUAUGUUCCACUGACAUCACAUGCCACUUGGAACGGAGGAAUGAACAUCGUCGUUCCUCCGGAAAGACUCUCCUUUCUUCACAAGAAAACGCAGGAACCAGAACAUCCACUCAAACCUAAAGUUUUCGCGGAUGCCCGAGGCACACGCGUGUGCAAGAGAAAUGGAGCGCGCGAAUAAAUGGAGGUAAGAGAAACCAGAAGAGAUUGGAUCCCGCUGGCUGGUUGCCGUCAGCCCCAAAUCGAUAUGUAGAGCUACAAAGACACCUCACCAUCAAGCGCCCUUUGUCUCACCUCUACACCAACCAAGUGCCUGCUCAAGAGCGGGCGUCGAGCUUUCCGAUGGGAAAACGUUGAGGGUCUGCUCUAAGUGCGUGGGAGUCAAAUGCAGAGGCUACACUUGACGCGCUUGAGAUGAGCGAAAGGCCAUGAAUCUAGAGCUGGAGGAAUGGACAAAGCUUGCGGAAGAGAUAAGGUUACCUGAGAAAUUCCUUUAUUUUGUUUUCCUUUUCUAUGUUUCCGUUCUUCCAUUCCAAAUAGACC
rnacentral:lncRNA from 1 species